rnacentral:rRNA from 1 species
GAUGAACGCUGGCGGCGUGCUUAACACAUGCAAGUCGAACGAAGCAUUUGCGACAGAUUUUUUCGGAAUGAAGUUGCUUAUGACUGAGUGGCGGACGGGUGAGUAACGCGUGGGUAACCUGCCUUGUACUGGGGGAUAGCAGCUGGAAACGGCUGGUAAUACCGCAUAAGCGCACAAUGUUGCAUGACAUGGUGUGAAAAACUCCGGUGGUAUAAGAUGGACCCGCGUCUGAUUAGCUAGUUGGUGAGAUAACAGCCCACCAAGGCGACGAUCAGUAGCCGACCUGAGAGGGUGACCGGCCACAUUGGGACUGAGACACGGCCCAGACUCCUACGGGAGGCAGCAGUGGGGAAUAUUGCACAAUGGAGGAAACUCUGAUGCAGCGACGCCGCGUGAGUGAAGAAGUAAUUCGUUAAGUAAAGCUCUAUCAGCAGGGAAGAUAGUGACGGUACCUGACUAAGAAGCUCCGGCUAAAUACGUG